rnacentral:rRNA from 1 species
CCCUUAGAUGUCCGGGGCCGCACGCGCGCUACAAUGGAUGAAUCAACGCGUCAUCCUGGCCCGAAAGGGUUGGGGAACCGCUGAACCUCAUCCGUGGUUGGGAUUGGGGUUUGUAAUUAUUCCCCAUGAACUAGGAAUUCCCAGUAAGCGCGAGUCAUAAGCUCGCGUUGAUUACGUCCCUGCCCUUUGUACACACCGCCCGUCGCUACUACCGAUCGAAGAGUUAGGUGAAUUGUUUUGAUCGAUAAGAUUUGACUAUGGUCAACUCUCGUUGUGAAAUUCUGUGAAUCUGACUGUUUAGAGGAAGGAAAAGUCGUAACA